GACUGUUGGUAGUGUGUCCUCAGAGGGGAGAGUCCAUCUAGGCUCUUCUCUCCACUUUUUACUUUCUAGUCAUGAGGUGAGCUUUUGCCCUAUCACGAAGUUCUGCUCUGCUGUUCACCUCAUCACAGGCCUGGAAACGUCUGAGGAAAAAGUCAUGUUGGGACAAAUAGCUAAUUACUUAGGGGAACAAAAAAUGCCAUUCUAAUAAAUGAAUUUAAACAACAAAGUGGGAAGUAAGAAGUCCAGUUAAAGGGGGGUGAGUGAUUUCUCAUCUCAGGAGACAGUUCAGGAAAACAGGCACACACGGGGAAAGGAACGAUGGGAGGACAGAUGUAAAACUUGAAAAGCCUCCAGGUGCUGGAAACACUCACCUUGCCCCUUUUGCAUGCAACAUCUUUCAAAGAGACCCUUCUUCUAGCCUAGGAAGGCUGUCCUGCCACAGGCAGUGUGCAGACCAGCUUGAACUCAUGCCAUAGCCUCUUUCAAGAAAUUGAAAUAAAUAACAAAAGGAUUCCAAUUACUGCCGCUUGGUUUUGAGUGAAAAGGUUAUAUAAGGCUAGGGCUGAGAGAUCCACUUUCAGGCAUGAAAAGGGCUGACAGAUGAAGGUGUCCAUCAUCAGGCUUGUGACUCUUAGCUCUUCAGAUUUGCUUCCCCGGGGCACUACAUCAAAUCAGUCACUACAAGCAUGAUGACAUCGCAGUCCAGUCCAAUGGUUCCCAACCUAAUUGUUCCUAAUGCUGCGGACCCCCACCAUAAAGCUAUUUCUUUGCUACUUCA
rnacentral:lncRNA from 1 species